rnacentral:misc_RNA from 1 species
GUAACAAGGUCUCCGUUGGUGAACCAGCGGAGGGAUCAUUACCGAGUUUACAACUCCCAAACCCAAUGUGAACCAUACCAAACUGUUGCCUCGGCGGGGUCACGCCCCGGGUGCGUCGCAGCCCCGGAACCAGGCGCCCGCCGGAGGGACCAACCAAACUCUUUCUGUAGUCCCCUCGCGGACGUUAUUUCUUACAGCUCUGAGCAAAAAUUCAAAAUGAAUCAAAACUUUCAACAACGGAUCUCUUGGUUCUGGCAUCGAUGAAGAACGCAGCGAAAUGCGAUAAGUAAUGUGAAUUGCAGAAUUCAGUGAAUCAUCGAAUCUUUGAACGCACAUUGCGCCCGCCAGUAUUCUGGCGGGCAUGCCUGUCCGAGCGUCAUUUCAACCCUCGAACCCCUCCGGGGGUCCGGCGUUGGGGAUCGGGAACCCCUAAGACGGGAUCCCGGCCCCGAAAUACAGUGGCGGUCUCGCCGCAGCCUCUCAUGCGCAGUAGUUUGCACAACUCGCACCGGGAGCGCGGCGCGUCCACGUCCGUAAAACACCCAACUUCUGAAAUGUUGACCUCGGAUCAGGUAGGAAUACCCGCUGAACUUAAGCAUAUCA